AAAGCCAUGUGAGGACACAGCAAGAAGGUGGCCAACUGCAAGCCAGGAAGGGGACUUUCACCAGAAACCAACCAUGCUGUCACCUUUACCUUGGACUCCCAACCUCCAUAACUUGCUGAUUCCCCAAAAGAAGAACGGACCAAGGAGACAUGGAACACUAAUUUUGGUUUGUAAUAUUUUUAGUCUUGAUAAAAAUAAGAAAUGAAGAAAAGCAUUAGCAAGAUGUAAAAAGGAAGAAAUUCAAAAUGAAAAAAGUAAAUAAAGAACAACAAAAAUACAUUUGAAUCCCGGUAUUACCUGGUUUCUAUAAAAUAGACUUAAGACAAAGCAUUCAUCUAAAACAAUUUUUCUACAAUAAAUUCUGUGUG